UAGGGAAUCUUCCACAAUGGACGAAAGUCUGAUGGAGCAACGCCGCGUGAGUGAAGAAGGGUUUCGGCUCGUAAACUCUGUUGUUAAAGAAGAACAUAUCUGAGAGUAACUGUUCAGGUAUUGACGGUAUUUAACCAGAAAGCCACGGCUAACUACGUGACAG
rnacentral:rRNA from 1 species